UCCGGUCCUUUACAUCCCCAUCCCCUGCUCAGCUCGGAAAGGUACCUCAUCGCGGGUCACCUGAUCUCUGAAGUCUGAACCUCCAUGCUUUGGACGAAAUUACAUGAAACUUAUAUGCAUUAAUAUUUGUUAUUUUUAUGCAGUGUGCAAUGGAUUUAGAAUCCACCAAAUUUCUAUUGCAAUUUCCUAGAGAAAGUACCCAGUACUCAGCUGGUGUAGAUGAAUUCCUAGAGUUUGCAUAUAAAUAUACGAGCAGAUACAAUGAAUGAUCCGAUGUCCAUGUGAAGUUUGUGUUCACAAUUUAGUACUAUCAAGGGAUGAUGUCUGUGACCAUUUGAUGUGGAAUGUAAUGCUUUUGAGCUAUGACACAAUAGCUCAAUAAAGGUCAGCUUCCAGUGUGAUUCUGUUAUUUACAUUCUUAGUAUCACUGCUGCCACUUAUGUCAUUUUGGACAUGAAACUUACAACUCUAUUGCUCCUGUAAGCAGGUUUGAUGGACAAAGAAAGUCACUGAUCUGAAAAUGUGGAGCUUAUAGUUAAAGUGACGAAUUCAUUACUGUUAUUUGAAUUUUUUUUCUUUUAUGUCCAUGUACUUUAUAAUUCGGACAAGAAGAUUUAUAGGUGUGACUGGCCUAAAGUGUCAAUACUUGAUCCCAAAUAUGUUGGUGUUGGACUGUUGGUCAUUC
rnacentral:lncRNA from 1 species